GACGAACGCUGGCGACGCGCUUAACACAUGCAAGUCGAACGGAAAGGCCUGCUUUCCCUUGUGGAUUGCGGGUACUCGAGUGGCGAACGGGUGAGUAACACGUGAGUGAUCUGCCCCCAACUUGGGUAUAAGCCUGGGAAACUGGGUCUAAUUCCCGAUAGGACUGCAGGGUGGUGCCUGUGGUGGAAAACGAUUUUCUAGUGGUUGAGGAUGAGCUCGCGGCCUAUCAGCUUGUUGGUGGGGUAAUGGCCUACCAAGGCGGCGACGGGUAGCCGGCCUGAGAGGGUGGACGGCCACAUUGGGACUGAGAUACGGCCCAGACUCCUACGGGAGGCAGCAGUGGGGAAUAUUGCACAAUGGGCGGAAGCCUGAUGCAGCGACGCCGCGUGGGGGAUGACGGCCUUCGGGUUGUAAACUCCUUUCGACCGCGAGGAAGCCACCUGGUUGGAAGGGUGGUGACGGUAGUGGUAGAAGAAGCACCGGCUAACUACGUG
rnacentral:rRNA from 1 species